AGUCAUGGCCAUACCACCCUGAAUAUACUGAUCUUGUGUGAUCUCAGAAGCUAAGCAGAGUCUGGCCUGGUUAGUACUUGGAUGAGAGAAAACAAAGUGAAGACUG
rnacentral:rRNA from 1 species